UGAAAAUCUUUUUCCAGGUAUACAAGAUCAGUGAGCCUGUUCAAUGUAUACUGUGAUUAGAAUUUUUCUUCAGAUAUUUAUAUCAACAUUUCAGGUUUCGGGAGAAAUGUUUUCUGAGCCUACCUGUCAAAGAGAAACUUAUAAAAGUCUUCGAUCAAGAAAAACAAGUUCAUAAACCACCUGAUUCUGCCGCUGAAAUGUAUGAAUACAAAAUGCUUUUCAACUAAAUAACACGGAGGAUUGGUAAAUCUUUCUUACUGUUUUCAAGUGCUAACCUAUGAUGGCGGUAUGCAUUAACCCAAGUUUCUAACUCCAACAGAGGAGGGUGAGGGGACAGAGGCCAGGAGUGUUACCGAGCAGUUCACACUUCACUGGGGUCCAAGCGCCAGAGCCUCACUUUGAUGCCCCUCCCAGAAGCACUGGCUUUAUGUGCUGCUGUAAUACAAACACUUAAAAGAGGAAGACCGAGAAAAGA
rnacentral:lncRNA from 12 species